rnacentral:rRNA from 1 species
CCUACGGGAGGCAGCAGUGAGGAAUUUUCCGCAAUGGGCGAAAGCCUGACGGAGCGACGCCGUGUGUGCGAUGAAGUCCUUCGGGAUGUAAAGCACUGUCAGGGGGGACGAUAUUGACGGUACCCCCAGAGGAAGGCCCGGCUAACUACGUGCCAGCAGCCGCGGUAAUACGUAGGGGCCAAGCGUUGUCCGGAAUUAUUGGGCGUAAAGGGCGUGUAGGUGGUUUUGCAAGUCAGAUGUUAAAUUCCCAAGCUCAACUUGGGACCGCAUCUGAUACUACAAGACUAGAGAGUGGUAGAGGAAAGUGGAACUGCCGGUGUAGCGGUGAAAUGCGUAGAUAUUGGCAGGAACACCAGUGGCGAAAGCGACUUUCUGGACCAUUUCUGACACUGAGGCGCGAAAGCUAGGGGAGCAAACGGGAUUAGAUACCCCGGUAGU